AUUCAUGGAUCAAAAUUAAUCAAGGAACCAAUACAAACAACUGUCUUCCUCUCCCCUAGGCAAAUACACGCUUUUCCUUUCCCAAGGAGCAACGUUCCAUCAGCAUAACUCUUCCCAAAACAAAACAAAAUCAAACGACUUUUUUCCUUUCUCUUCCCAUUUCCUCUCUCUCACCCAAAUCGGAGGGGCUAGCAGCAAUAGCUGUCGCGCCCCUGCCGCUAGCCUACCAAGAUUCUCCCCUUCUCGGCCAAGUCCAACCCACGAAUCUCUGAAAUCAGAGAGAAACAGUCCCAAAUUGGUGCAGUAAUAGAGGUGUCUUUUGAAAUCCACCAUUAAGGCAUGAGAAACGUUUGAAAUUUCGAGUAUGUGAGGUCCCUUUCAAUUUUUAAAUUUUGAUUUCCUCCCCUUCGAUUUGCCCGUUGGCCCCUGCAAAUUUUUGGUUUCAAAUCCGGACUUGCCGAUAAAUAGUUACAUUUUUCACUCUUGACGUGGGGAGGUUUUUGAUUGGAGGGUGAAUGGAUUGGGGUUUUUUUGGAUGUUCAAAAAUAGAAGAGGGAGAUUUAGAAAAUUGGGGGAAAUCUGAAAUAAAGGGACUUCGUUGAGAAAGGUUCAAAACGGGGUUCACGGUUUCGGGGGAUAAGAGAGAAAAUUAAGAUUUCAAAUUCGGAGAGGGGAGAGCACACAUUCAAUUUUUUAAAAAAUCUUUGGUAUUUUCUUGAUUCCGAGAUUGAGUUCCAAAGUCGAGCUCAAGCCGGAAACUUGACGUUGAAGCCUCAAGUUUGCUGCUCAAAACAAGGAAUACAUAUUACCUUCGAAUCAAGGAUUUCAAAGCCUAAACAUGAAAAGUUGCAAUGUCUCACUUCCACAAAUGCAGGAGACAAUAUUGUGCACAGGCUUGGUAAUCAAAACCAUGGUAAAACUCAUCAUCCAAUAUCUCUAGGAGACACACUUCCUUGUUUGGAUAACUCAAGAGACAUUUGUAAGGAGAUGCGCUUCCUUGUUUAGAUAAUUCAAGUGAUAUUUGUGAGGAGACACACUUUCUUGUCUGGAUAAUUCAAGUAAUAUUUGUAAGGAGACGCACUUUCUUGUUUGGUUAAUUCAAGCAACAUUGGUAAGGAAACAAACUUCCUUGUUUGGGCAAUUCAAGCAACAUUUGUAAGGAGAUGCACUUUCUUGUUUGGGUAAUCCAAGCAAUAUUUGUAAGGAGAUGCACUUCCUUGUUUGGGUAAUUCAAGCGACAUUUAUAAGGAGACACACUUUCUUGUUUAGUUAAUUCAAGUGACAUUUGUAAGGAGACACAUUUCCUUGUUUGUGUAAUUCAAGCGACAAUUGUAAGGAGACACAUUUCCUUGUUUGGGUAAUUCAAGCGGCAUUGGUAAGGAGACGCACUUCCUCUUUUUGGUAAUUCAAGAGACAUUUGUUAGGAGAAGCACUUCCUUGUUUGGUAAUUCAAAUGGUAUUUGUAAGGGGACGUACUUUCUUUAUUGAACAUUUCAAGCAACAUUUGUAAGGAGACACACUUCCUUAUUUGGUUAAUUCAAGUGGUAUUUGUAAGGA